GUGAUCCUACGGGGGGCAGCAGUGGGGAAUAUUGGGCAAUGGGCGCAAGCCUGACCCAGCAACGCCGCGUGAAGGAAGAAGGCUUUCGGGUUGUAAACUUCUUUUAUCAGGGACGAAGCAAGUGACGGUACCUGAUGAAUAAGCCACGGCUAACUACGUGCCAGCAGCCGCGGUAAUACGUAGGUGGCAAGCGUUAUCCGGAUUUACUGGGUGUAAAGGGCGUGUAGGCGGGAGUGCAAGUCAGAUGUGAAAACUAU
rnacentral:rRNA from 1 species